UCAGGGAGAUCAAUCAGUGCAACAAUGAG
rnacentral:piRNA from 1 species